rnacentral:rRNA from 1 species
GACGAACGCUGGCGGCGUGCUUAACACAUGCAAGUCGAACGGAAAGGCCCUGCUCUUGUGGGGUGCUCGAGUGGCGAACGGGUGAGUAACACGCGAGUAACCUGCCCUUGACUUUGGGAUAACUUCAGGAAACUGGGGCUAAUACCGGAUAGGAGCUCCUGCUGCAUGGUGGGGGUUGGAAAGUUUCGGCGGUUGGGGAUGGACUCGCGGCUUAUCAGCUUGUUGGUGGGGUAGUGGCUUACCAAGGCUUUGACGGGUAGCCGGCCUGAGAGGGUGACCGGCCACAUUGGGACUGAGAUACGGCCCAGACUCCUACGGGAGGCAGCAGUGGGGAAUAUUGCACAAUGGGCGGAAGCCUGAUGCAGCAACGCCGCGUGCGGGAUGAUGGCCUUCGGGUUGUAAACCGCUUUCGCCUGUGACGAAGCGUGAGUGACGGUAAUGUGUAAAGAAGCACCGGCUAACUACGUG